rnacentral:rRNA from 1 species
CCUACGGGUGGCAGCAGUGGGGAAUAUUGCACAAUGGGGGAAACCCUGAUGCAGCGACGCCGCGUGAAGGAAGAAGUAUUUCGGUAUGUAAACUUCUAUCAGCAGGGAAGAAAAUGACGGUACCUGACUAAGUAGCCCCGGCUACCGACGUGCCAGCAGCCGCGGUAAUACGUAGGGGGCACGCGUUAUCCGGAUAUACUGUGUGGAAAGGGAGCGGAGGCGGUUUUGCAAGUCAGAGGUGAAAGCCCGGGGCUCAACUCCGGGACUGCUUUUGAAAGUAUUGAACUAGAUUGCGGGAGAGGUAAGUGGAAUUCCAAGUGUAGCGGUGAAAUGCGUAGAUAUUAGGAAGAACACCAGUGGCGAAGGCAGCUUACUGGACUGAAAAUGACGCUGAGGCUCGAAAGCGUGGGGAGCAAACAGGAUUAGAUACCCCAGUAGUC